rnacentral:rRNA from 1 species
UACAGAGGUCUCAAGCGUUGUUCGGAAUUACUGGGCGUAAAGGGCUCGUAGGCGGCCAACUAAGUCAGACGUGAAAUCCCUCGGCUUAACCGGGGAACUGCAUCUGAUACUGGAUGGCUUGAGUACGGGAGAGGCGAGUGGAAUUCCUGGUGUAGCGGUGAAAUGCGCAGAUAUCAGGAGGAACACCGAUGGCGAAGGCAGGUCUCUGGGCCAUAACUGACGCUGAGAAGCGAAAGCAUGGGGAGCGAACAGG